CGGCCACCACGCCGGACAUGAGCAAUCACUAUCUUAGGGUUCCUGCGUUUAUAAGCCAGGCGAAUACUUCUCUGCAUAGAUGGAAGACGCGCACAAGGAGAAGAUGAUGAAGACAUCAUAGUAACGUCUUCACAGGCAUUCUUAUUUUUCCUCUUCUUCUUCUUCUUGUCCUCCUCCUCCUUCUCGUUCUCCUUGUAAUGGGUCAUAUUUAGAUUUCCAUUGUCAAACGAUUUUGGGAAUUGAGUAUCACUCUCCACUGUCGGACUUGAAUCGCCAGUUAAGUUGGA
rnacentral:misc_RNA from 1 species